rnacentral:lncRNA from 1 species
CUUAAGCUUAUUUCAAAUUCAAUACAAAAACAUUCUCAUUAUAGUAGUGUUUACAAUAUUAUAUAUAAACAUGUAUGUAUAUGUAAUAUGUACACGUGGAGAACUAUUAACUGAAGAAAGAUUUGAACUGGUACAUAGCCUAUAUCCUACAAAAAUAUGUUAAAUUUGGGGGAAAGGUGCCUAUAUUGCAUCUACAACUUAUUGGGCUCUCACUUUCAGGUAACACAAACCACUCUUGAAAGAAAACUCCAAAUAUUUGAUGUAACUUGAAAACUGCAAUUACCUUGGUCCUUGGGGAUGUGCCUGGCUUCAGGAAAGCUAUUAGUAUCACCUUGUAACGAUAGCCGCCAAUGGUUGGCUGACUUGGCAUCUAUUCUCAUCUAUUGCUGACGCUGGAAUCCGUGGCCCCCGCUUUUCGCGCAGCCACUGCACAACUUCACCACUGACUUUCCUGCAUUUUCUAACCUUAAGCUUAACCAAAUUGGGACAACCAAAACCAAAAGCUGCAAUCCCAGAAUUAGACACAGGGCACCCUUUGAUACAAAGCUUCUUCAGUGCCACAGAUUUUGUAGCAAUGUACUUAAUUUCGGCAUCACCAACUGUUCCAAUCCCACAGAGAGCCAACCUUUCCAAAUUUGGACAAUUAGAAACAACCGCCUCUAACCCUAGACCAGUCGGAAACAUAGCAAUCAAAACAAGCUCAAGCAAAUUAGGACAAUUUCUCGCGAUGGCAAUCAAUCCAUCAUCACCAAUCCUAUUAGACCUCCAUCCAUCAAUGUGCAGCUUCUUCAACAUCUUACAUCUUUCGGCGACAUCAGAAAUCCCUAAAUCUGAGCAAUUAGGAGUUUUCACAACAUGCAAAGUCUCCAAUUUCAGACACUUAGAUAUCCCUCUAAGACCUAAGUUACUAACUUGAACCUUUUCAAGGUGAACCUCAACCAAUCCAGGGUUCAAUUUACCCAUAGUUUCAAGCAUCAUAUCCCAAUCUCCCAAACAUCGAAUCAGCUUCAAACUACGAAGCUUCUUCGAACCGAUUAUAAGAGGCUCAAAGCUUCUUCCAUUAACAAGCUCUUUCAGGCAAAUUGAUUUCAACGAAGAGGAAACGGAAACAACACCAUUACCUACAAUUUCGGUGCUUACGCCAUCAUCAACGCCACGAAGCCUCUUAAUUGAGAGUUCUUCGAGGAAAUUGCAAUGUUCCAUUAACGUGUAAACGCCUUUCACGCCGAACAUGCAAGAACCGCAAGAGAGCUUCUUCAGAUUCUUACAGUUUCUCGCUAAACCAGCCAUUCCGAUUUCCGUAACCUCUCUGCAGCCACGGAGCAUGAGGCGCGUGAGGUUACUGCACCGAAGCGAGAUUAAGAUCAAAGCGUCAUCGUUUAUGCUCAUGGAUCUUCGGUCACAACGUAGGGUGAGUUUCGUGACCGAGUCGAACCGGGAAAACAAGGAGGGAACGCGGUUUACCAGUUCAGCCUUAGCGUUGAGUGAGAGACGGUAACGGCUUUCGCCGUCAACGCGUAACCACCGUUUGGAAACGGAAGAGCAUCUUUUCCGGUCGACGGAGGUGAGAAAAUGAAAAAUCAUAGCUAGACAUUCGUCGGGGAUGUAGGCGGUGUAAUCACGCGCUCCAUCUCCAACAGAAUCAUCGGAAGAGAAAUGAAUUUGGCGAUGAUAGGGUUCCGGCGAUGUGACGGCGGUGGACGGUGACUGUCCCAUUAAAAAAGAGACGGUGAGUUAUUGAGAGAUAGAUUUGAAAAUGAAUCUGAAAAGAGAAUUGAAGUGAAUGUCGCAGAGAAAUAUGCAUAGCUAUUUAUUUAUUUGAUUAUUAUUUUGUUGUUGUGGUUGAAAGUCGUGAAAGGGUGAAACGCGUGUUGUGGGAAUUAGCACUGAAGACGAGGUUACUUAUUGUUUGAAAAUGGUGACUUUUCUUUCAUAAAACUUGACAGGUAGUGAUACAAAAAUCGUGGUAAUCAUGGGUACUCGAAAAAUAUCGCAAUUAUGAGAUUUACUUGGCUCAUAUUCAAAUAUUCAACUUUGUAAACAUUAUUCAUACUAGUCAGGCUUCAAUGUUGAAUAGGACGAGAGAAUAUUUAUUUCAGAACAAGUAUUUGUUGUUCAUAACUAUGUUUCAAAAUCUGUCUCAAACUAAUCAUAAUAUGUUAUGAGUUAAAAAAAUUAAAUAUUUAUAAUAUUUUCUAUUUUUGUUUCAUUGUGAUUGAUUUGGAAUAUCCAUAGGAAUAGAUCUCACCCAUUUAUUUCAUGGUCAUUUCCUUUCUCUGAUCAACCAGGUCUUGUCAGAGGUGAAGUAUAAGUGAACAUAAUUUCUCUUCAUUCUUGAGGGCAGCCUUUCAAGUUUGAGUUAACCAUUAAAACCCAUAAUAGAACCCAUAACAACAAGAAAGUACUACAUCCAUUUCUUCAAAAUAAUCGUUCACUUACAUAAUAAUAGAAUUUUAAAAUAAUUAUUCACUAAUAAUUUUAAGAGAGUAUUAAAUAAUUAUUUUUUAAAGAAAGUCUUCACUGGUGUAAAUGAGAGGUUAGAAUAAAGUUCGAAGGCUAAAUUAGGAAAGUAUAUAUUAUUUUUCUGAUUUUAACAAAAUAAAUUGGAUUUUGUAAAUGUGCUUUGUUUACUUCUAGACAAUUAUUUUGAUAAAGCUAGAGUAUUUUUCUCAACACCCAACUCUCCAAUAUAUUGUGAAAUAUCAAAUACAUGCGUGAUCAUUAAUUUUACAUAAAAUAUAUUAAAAAUAAUUGUUUGCCUCAGUUUUAUAUUAAAAAUUCUAAAAAAUAGAUAAUACUAGCUGACAUUAUGUUUACACUCCAAAUUGAAAACAUCACCAUACAAGUACUUAAUCAGAUAUCCAAUAAAGAAUCUCUACAAACAAUAAUAUUUAGUAGUUUGGAGAAUGCUUCCAAUCAACUUAAGCUUAUUUCAAAUUCAAUACAAAAACAUUCUCAUUAUAGUAGUGUUUACAAUAUUAUAUAUAAACAUGUAUGUAUAUGUAAUAUGUACACGUGGAGAACUAUUAACUGAAGAAAGAUUUGAACUGGUACAUAGCCUAUAUCCUACAAAAAUAUGUUAAAUUUGGGGGAAAGGUGCCUAUAUUGCAUCUACAACUUAUUGGGCUCUCACUUUCAGGUAACACAAACCACUCUUGAAAGAAAACUCCAAAUAUUUGAUGUAACUUGAAAACUGCAAUUACCUUGGUCCUUG